UACGUAGGGGGCAAGCGUUGUCCGGAAUCAUUGGGCGUAAAGCGCGCGCAGGCGGUCCUUUAUGUCUGAUGUGAAAGCCCACGGCUCAACCGUGGAGGGUCAUUGGAAACUGGGGGACUUGAGUGCAGAAGAGGAAAGCGGAAUUCCACGUGUAGCGGUGAAAUGCGUAGAGAUGUGGAGGAACACCAGUGGCGAAGGCGGAUUUCUGGUCUGUAACUGACGCUGAGGAGCGAAAGCGUGGGGAGCAAACAGG
rnacentral:rRNA from 1 species